UAGGGAAUCUUCCACAAUGGGCGGAAAGACCUGAUGGAGCAACGCCGCGUGUGUGAUGAAGGGUUUCGGCUCGUAAAACACUGUUGUAAGAGAAGAAUGACAUUGUGAGUAACUGUUCAAUGUGUGACGGUAUCUUACCAGAAAGGAACGGCUAAAUACGUGCCAC
rnacentral:rRNA from 1 species